UCGUUGUAAACGCGACGUAAUAUUACGACGAAGUUACCAGGCCCGCGUUUUUUCAUUUACGACGAAGUUACCAGGCCCGCGUUUUUCGAUUUACGACAAAAUUACGUCGAAACAUCGGUUUACGACGAAUUUACAAGGCCCACGUUUACGACGAAGUUACCAGGCCCGCGUUUUUCGAUUUACGACAAAAUUACGUCGAAACAUCGGUUUACGACGAAUUUAC
rnacentral:lncRNA from 1 species